rnacentral:rRNA from 1 species
UAGCGUAGGGGGCAAGCGUUUGUCCGGAAUCAUUGGGCGUAAAGAGCGCGUAGGCGGCCCUGUAAGUCCGCUGUGAAAGUCAAGGGCUCAACCCUUGAAUGCCGGUGGAUACUGCAGGGCUAGAGUCCGGAAGAGGCGAGUGGAAUUCCUGGUGUAGCGGUGGAAUGCGCAGAUAUCAGGAGGAACACCAAUAGCGAAGGCAGCUCGCUGGGACGUUACUGACACUGAGGCGCGACAGCGUGGGGAGCAAACAGG